AUGUAUGUUACUCAUGUGCGUAGAGAUGAAAGGUUUCAAAACUUGAAGAAUCUGUGUGAGCUUUCAGUUAUGCUUGUCGAGACAAACAAGCAUGAACAAUACUAUAUUGUUUACAAGCUUCUUAAGUUGGUACUAAUUCUGCCAGUAGCUACUGCUAGUGUUGAAAGGGUGUUCUCUUCAAUGAACUAUGUGAAGAAUAAGCUAAGGAGCAAAAUGGGUGAUGAUUACUUGAACAAUUGUUUGGUUACAUUUGUUGAGAGAGAAUUCUUCAAUCAAGUAAAGGAUGAGGAUGUCAUCAAUCUCUUCCAAAAAGGCGAUCGCAAAGUUAUAUUGUAA
rnacentral:rRNA from 1 species